GAGCCUUUUCCUUUUUGUUUAGUUUUUUAUUUUAUUUUAUUUAACACAGAGAGCUGUAUAAACCUAAUCGGAGGUGAUAUCUUAACUCAAAUUUAAGGGAACCCUUAAUCUAGUGUUGUUUUAAGGUUGUCCAUUCCCUGUUGUUUUUUGUUGUUUUUGAAAUUUUAUUAAAUUGUAAAUAAUGUCUCAUUGUCAAUGUGCAAGAAAAAGCUAAAUAAGUAAUAAGCAAA
rnacentral:lncRNA from 1 species